AUGUUGUCUUUGCAAAGGGUUGUUUACAGAGUUCAUUGGCAUUCUGUCCACCUCCACUUUCUUCCCUCCUCUCACUCUCUAUGUAGAUUUGUUGGAGGUGGACAUACUGCCAACAGAUCUCUGUUAGCUUCUCUUUGUAAAGCCUUCCUGAGAUACAUAUCUAUUAUUUCUAUGAGAUCAGAACCAGCUUUCUGCCCUAGCUCACUUUUCUUUAUACUCCCCUCCCCUUUAUUUUUACUUAUAUGCAGACUCGGGUUUUUGUGUUCUUCAUCUUAA